rnacentral:rRNA from 1 species
AUUGAACGCUGGCGACAUGCCUUACACAUGCAAGUCGAACGGUAACAGGUCUUCGGAUGCUGACGAGUGGCGAACGGGUGAGUAAUACAUCGGAACGUGCCUAGUAGUGGGGGAUAACUACUCGAAAGAGUGGCUAAUACCGCAUGAGAUCUACGGAUGAAAGCAGGGGAUCGCAAGACCUUGUGCUACUAGAGCGGCCGGUGGCAGAUUAGGUAGUUGGUGGGAUAAAAGCUUACCAAGCCGACGAUCUGUAGCUGGUCUGAGAGGACGAUCGGCCACACUGGGACUGAGACACGGCCCAGACUCCUACGGGAGGCAGCAGUGGGGAAUUUUGGACAAUGGGCGAAAGCCUGAUCCAGCAAUGCCGCGUGCAGGAUGAAGGCCUUCGGGUUGUAAACUGCUUUUGUACGGAACGAAAAGCCCCGGGUUAAUACCCUGGGGUCAUGACGGUACCGUAAGAAUAAGCACCGGCUAACUACGUGCCAGCCGCCGCGGUAA